rnacentral:rRNA from 1 species
UACCUACGGGGGGCAGCAGUGGGGAAUUUUGGACAAUGGGGGCAACCCUGAUCCAGCAAUGCCGCGUGUGUGAAGAAGGCCUUCGGGUUGUAAAGCACUUUUGGCGGGAACGAAACAGCGCUUGCUAAUACCAGGCGCGAAUGACGGUACCCGCAGAAUAAGCACCGGCUAACUACGUGCCAGCAGCCGCGGUAAGACGUAGGGUGCGAGCGUUAAUCGGAAUUACUGGGCGUAAAGCGUGCGCAGGCGGUUCUGUAAGACAGGUGUGAAAUCCCCGGGCUCAACCUGGGAACUGCACUUGUGACUGCAGGGCUAGAGUGUGUCAGAGGGAGGUGGAAUUCCGCGUGUAGCAGUGAAAUGCGUAGAGAUGCGGAGGAACACCGAUGGCGAAGGCAGCCUCCUGGGAUAACACUGACGCUCAUGCACGAAGGCGUGGGGAGCAAACAGGAUUAGAUACCCUAGUAGUC